UACGAAGGGGGCUAGCGUUGUUCGGAAUUACUGGGCGUAAAGCGCACGUAGGCGGGCGAUUAAGUCAGGGGUGAAAUCCCGGAGCUCAACUCCGGAACUGCCUUUGACACUGGUCGUCUAGAGAUCGGAAGAGGUGAGUGGAAAUUCCCAGUGUAGAGGUGAAAUUCGUAGAUAUUGGGAAGAACACCAGUGGCGAAGGCGGCUCACUGGCCCGUAACUGACGCUGAGGUGCGAAAGCGUGGGGAGCAAACAGG
rnacentral:rRNA from 1 species